AUUUUGGUAGCAGUAACAGAAUUGCUGUAUGCACUUAGUUGUCAGGCUUUCUAAUCGCCCUAUACUUUUUGAUAGUCUAGGCUUCAAUGAGCAUAUAUGGAAAAAUGAUAGUCCCUUUAAAUCCAUAAAGAAUGAGAAAAAUUGAAGAGGAUAAAACUAAACAGUAGUCGUUUGUGAGGGAUUUUUUAGGUUUUCUUUCUUCAUUUCGGCUUCGUUGUUGAUAUUUAAGUCAUUUGAUAAUUCUGGAUAGUAUAUGAAAAGGUUAUUCCAUGUAGUAUUCCAAGUUUUUAUCAGAUGAUCAGGAAUUUCUGGAUCGACCUCAAUAGUGGGUCCUGCGAGUGCUCCAGCACCGUGUAAAAUCAUAAAAACAUUCUUGAUAGAUUCCAUUACCUCAGCCAUAGACUCUGAACCAUGGAUUGAACUUAAUUUUAUGGCCACGUCCAUUAACUUUAGCCAUAAUGUAUGCAGCAUCUCCUUUUGGGCUGACAACACAUUCAUAUCAAUCAGCACAGUUUUGCAAAUUAUAUUAAACAUUUGGGCUUGCGCUAGACCGAAUAUUUUAUGCUCUGGUUUCUCGGUUAAAACAGUGAUCAUGUUUUCCAUAGUUGGAAGAAGCACCAGGUGGAAGAGAGCCAUAGUAUAACUAACUUCGUGAGGCUGAUCUAACUGUUCCACGACUAUUCGCUGCAAACAUGACAAAGAUGCUGCUCUUAAAGAACGACUUCGCGAGAGGCAAAGCUUACAAACAUGAUCGUAAAUAAUUUUCCAUCUUGUAUCUUGAAAAUGUUCAGAACUUUCAUUGGAGUCAACCUUGUACUCAACUGCUGCUUUUAAAAAUAAAUUAAAUGCAUCGUUCAAUUCUGCACUAUGGUUAUCAAGUAUAGACUUAUCAAACGGAAGCCCUUUUGAAGCUCCCUUUUUUUGCUUUGACAAAAUCUGCGCGAUUUGUUUCACAAUAGUCUGAAUUAGCGUAUCAACGCAACCUAAAUAUACUUGAAACAUUGGAAGAUCAAGUAAAUUAGUAGGGAUUUUGCUAAGCAGCCUAUAUAAAUCAUCAAUAUCUGCUGUAUUUGUAUUAACAGCGGAUUGGACAAGCUGGAGUCCUAUCCAACUUUCAAGUAGAAAGGGGUACUUGUUUACCAACUGAUGAAAAAGUGAUAAGCUCUGAUUUCUGACAACAAUAUUUUUAUCGUUCAAAAGAUUGCACAGCUUACUGAAUAAACCCCAGUCUUCUGAGUUCUCGCUUAACUUCAAGUCGUCAUCCAUGAACAUCUCGAAGAUAUAUAGAGAGAGUUGGUUGAUAACUUUCUCAUCCCCAGAUUGUUCAAUUUGAAAUAGAAGAUAUGACAAAAUUUGGGUUCUUCUUUCCAAUUUGUUGAGUGAUUCUCUAGUUCCCAAAAAUAACGAUGUCAGCAGAUCAGCUACUAUUGCAGACUGGAUGUUACUGAGUGCUUCUACAGACGAAACUUUGUUAUCAUCCACUGUGUUUUCAUCAGUCAGAAGGCUAGUCGACGGAUUUGAUAGACUAAGAAGAGAGUCCAGAAGUUUGUUUAAUCCGGGUUGCUUGAGAUCGACCAAUUUAGUUAAGAAAUUGUCAAUUUUAGCAGAAGAGAUGCAAUCAAUAGUACAUAAAGUAUGUUGAAUUUCUUCAUCUGUUGGACAAGGAGGUUCAUCAUUUGCAUAACUUGAUAAAUAUGAAGAUAAUGCUGACAAUAAACCUCCUUCUUUGCUUAACGCGGGUUUCCCAGAAUUCAACGGAGGUUCAGGAAAUGGAAACCAUUGAUACCCAAACAGCUUGAAACCAGGUAAAAACGAAUUAUCAAUUAGGUUAUUUCGGGCUAGACAAAUGGUGAGCUGAACCAACAAGGGCCAGCUUGCGUCUAUGAUAUUACCAAACUUACUACUUAUCCAAAAGAGAACCAGAAGAGCCAAUUGAGCACGAAAAUCCCUUCCAAAACGUACACUUAAUUCACUAACUGUAAUAAUACGGUCUUCCACUUUAAUAGCAGUAUUUAAUUGAGUACCUGGCACAGAAGAAGGAUCGAGCGCAGUAAAUUGACAAAAGCGCUCAAUAGCAUAAUCAACCGGUUCGUUCAAUUCAUAUGCUGCAGCCACUUCCGUAGCUUGCUGAAUUCCAUUGACAACCCUAUAGAAUACAGUAUCUUCUGUCGCAGUAGAAAACACGUAUAUUAAAGCGGCCAUUAUCGAUUUCCAAACUUCAAGAAAAACAAUUUUAUCAUGCACGUUAGAACUCGAACGCUUGAAUGGCUCAGUUAUUUUCACGCUCUGCUGUAA